UCUCUCUCGACGAAUCGUCGCUCUCUCAUGGGCGGCUUGCCUGAAAGGGCUAGUCGAGAGAGUUUCU
rnacentral:ncRNA from 12 species